UACGGGGGGGGCAAGCGUUGUUCGGAAUUACUGGGCGUAAAGGGCUCGUAGGCGGCCAACUAAGUCAUACGUGAAAUCCCUCGGCUUAACCGGAGACUGCGUCUGAUACUGGAUGGCUUGAAUCCGGGAGAGGGAUGCGGAAUUCCAGGUGUAGCGGUGAAAUGCGUAGAUAUCUGGAAGGAACACCGGUGGCGAAGGCGGCAUCCUGGACCGGCAUUGACGCUGAGGAGCGAAAGCCAGGGGAGCAAACGGG
rnacentral:rRNA from 1 species